CCCUUAGAUGUUCUGGGCCGCACGCGCGCUACACUGAUGAACGCAACGAGACCACCUGUACCGAAAGGCAUGGGUAAACUUGUGAAAGUUCAUCGUGAUGGGGAUAGAUUAUUGCAAUUAUUAAUCUUCAACGAGGAAUUCCUAGUAAGCGCGAGUCAUCAGCUCGCGUUGAUUACGUCCCUGCCCUUUGUACACACCGCCCGUCGCUCCUACCGAUUGAAUGAUCCGAUGAAUAUCAUGGAUUGAGGAUGCAAGCAGGUUCGCCUGUCUUCAUCUUCGAGAAGUGAAGUAAAUCUUAUCAUUUAGAGGAAGGAGAAGUCGUAACA
rnacentral:rRNA from 1 species